AAUGAACGCUGGCGGCAUGCCUUACACAUGCAAGUCGAACGGCAGCAUGACCUAGCUUGCUAGGUUGAUGGCGAGUGGCGAACGGGUGAGUAAUGCAUCGGAACGUGCCUUUUAGUGGGGGAUAACGUAGCGAAAGUUACGCUAAUACCGCAUAUUCUCUGAGGAGGAAAGCAGGGGACCUUCGGGCCUUGCGCUAGAAGAGCGGCCGAUGUCGGAUUAGCUAGUUGGUGAGGUAAAGGCUCACCAAGGCAACGAUCCGUAGCGGGUCUGAGAGGAUGAUCCGCCACACUGGGACUGAGACACGGCCCAGACUCCUACGGGAGGCAGCAGUGGGGAAUUUUGGACAAUGGGCGCAAGCCUGAUCCAGCCAUGCCGCGUGAGUGAAGAAGGCCCUCGGGUUGUAAAGCUCUUUCGGCUGGGAAGAAAUCGCACCCUCUAAUACAGGGUGUGGAUGACGGUACCAGCAGAAGAAGCACCGGCUAACUACGUG
rnacentral:rRNA from 1 species